GGGGUGGGGGCAGGAAAUGGAAGGGUGGGGCGGAGCCCGGGAGCUGCGCAGCCUUUGGGAGACGUGGCAGCACUGAACUUGGCCCUGCGGAGGUCAUGGAAGAAGUGACAUCGUGCUCCUUCAACAACCCUCUGUUCCAGCAGGAAGACAAGGGAGGGGUCACCUACCGGAUCCCAGCCCUGCUCUACAUACCCCCCACCCACACCUUCCUGGCCUUUGCAGAGAAGCGCUCUACAAGCAGGGAUGAGGACGCUCUCCACCUGGUGCUGAGGCGAGGGCUGAGGACGGGGCACUUUGUACAGUGGGGACCAGUAACACCACUGAUGGAAGCUGUGUUACCUGGGCAUCGGACCAUGAACCCCUGUCCUGUAUGGGAGCGGAACACUGGCUGUGUGUACCUGUUCUUCAUUUGUGUGCAGGGCCAUGUCACCGAGCGUCAACAGAUUAUGACAGGCAGGAAUGCUGCUCGCCUCUGCUUCAUCUGCAGUCGGGAUUCUGGCUAUUCAUGGAGCAACGUGAGGGACCUGACUGAGGAGGUCAUUGGCCCAGAAGUGAAGCGUUGGGCCACAUUUGCUGUGGGCCCAGGUCAUGGCAUCCAGCUGCAGUCGGGGAGGCUCAUCAUCCCUGCAUACACCUACUACAUCCCUUACUGGUUCUUUUGCUUCCGGCUACCAUGUAAAGCCAGGCCUCAUUCCCUGAUGAUCUACAGUGAUGACCUAGGGACCACAUGGCACCAUGGCAGGCUCAUUAAGCCCAUGGUGACAGUGGAGUGCGAAGUGGCAGAGGUGACUGGGAGGGCCGGCCACCCUGUGCUGUAUUGCAGUGCCCGGACACCAAACAGAUGCCGGGCAGAGGCUCUGAGCACUGACCAUGGUGAAUGUUUUCAGAGACCAGCCCUGAGCCAACAGCUCUGUGAGCCCCCGCGCGGCUGCCAAGGCAGUGUGGUGAGUUUCCGGCCCCUGGAGAUUCCAAAUGAGUGCCAGGACUGUAAUGGCAAAGAUGCUCCUACCGUUCAGCAGAGCCCUCUGCUGGGAAGUUCUGUGAGGCCAGAGCAGGAAGCUGGAGCACUGUCAGAGUCAUGGCUCUUGUACUCACACCCAACCAGUAAGAAACGGAGGGUUAACCUAGGCAUCUACCUCAACCGGACCCCCUUGGAGGCUGCCUGCUGGUCCUCCCCCUGGAUCUUGCACUGCGGGCCCUGUGGCUACUCCGAUUUGGCUGCUGUGGAGGAGGGCUUGUUUGCGUGUUUGUUUGAGUGUGGGAUCAGGCGGGAGUGUGAGCAGAUUGCCUUCCGCUUGUUCACAGACCAAGAGAUCCUGAGCCAUGUGCAAGGUGACUACACCAGCCCUGGUAGGAACUCUGACCCAAUUCAAAACUAAUUGGCUUAGGUUCCAACUUUCCAUAGAAGGGAAACCAUUAGAAGUCAACCAUAGCCAGGAUCAUGGAGGCCAGGAUAGCAGAGCUUACGGAAGCCUACAGGGGAUCCCAAAACGCAGUAUUCUGCUCCCUACCUUUUUCACCUCUCAAAGAUAAAAUGAAAAAUUUGCCAUAGCUACUGUAGCCGAAGUAGCACUGAACUGUGUGAAUUGGGAGACCAUGAUAUGAUCUUGGGUCUGCCAUGCUGGCUCUGGGACCUUGAACUGUCUGGGCCUCAGGUCUCCAUCUGUAAAAUGAGAGGAUUGGUCUGUGAUUUCUCUUCUUCCUGUCCCCAGGGAAGGCAGAGGGCCUGCUUGCUGCAUGAUCAGCAAGUCCUGGCUGCACAUAGGACUCUGGUAUCAAAAUGGAAAUCAUAGGACUCGUCUUUUCAAAUGACUGAGGUUCCAAGCAGAUGUCAUGUCAUGAAGAAGGAUCUGGAUGAUUUGUUCAGUAAUAGACGAGCUCUAUAGGCUAUUCAAGAGGAGUUGGGCAAAACAGAAACAAGGUCACCUACCUUCUUUAGCUUUGCAACUCUGCGCAACCUGCCCUUACGCAUCCAAAAAGCAUUAUUUCCUAGGGAGAGAAUGAGAGGCUCAAUACCAGUAGUCCAUAUUGUUUCUGAUGGCAUUAUUUCUAUGAAAGAUAGCCUGAAGUUCAUUUAUUAGGAUGGUUCCUGAUGAGAAAAAGACAUGACUUACGGCUUUAAAACAUUGGACAAAACUUCCCACAGUCUCUGCCCUCAAGGAGCUCACAGUUUAUGAGGCUAGAAGAGGGAGAAAAUUUUUUUUAAAAUGCAGUUGGUGGGAUGUUAGUAGAUGUUGGGCUCUAAGUUGCAUAACUGAAGCUCAUCAUCUUAGUUGCAUCUUUAUUGUUCCUGGAGUCAUCUGCCCCAGGGCUUGUCCAGGCUGCUAGGUUUCCCCUAAGUUUGUUUUUCUUAGACUAUUGUCCCGGCCCAGCCACUCUAUUUGCCAGUGGAGAAACUCUUCACCCUUAGGAAGGUCUUGGACCCUCCACACCGCUGAGUCUGGCCUGCUUGGACCUCCUGAAAUCACUGUUUGCGAAGUGAGAUGACCCUUGUCUAAUAGCUUUGGGGCUGAGCUUUACUAAUACUGGAUCUCUCAGAUGAUACCAGAUUGGUUGCUCUUAUUUUAGGUUGUUUCCCCGUAGCCUGUUACUUUGAGGGAAAUUCUAUCAUGAGAGAUUUCUUUUUUGUCCCUCUUAAAUCGGUAUAUCAGCUAACUACAGGGUGGGACAAAAGUAGAUUUACAGUUGUUCAUAUGGAAAAUAAUACAAUAAUUAAUAAAUAAUAGUACAAGAAUAAACUGUGUUUCAUGUACUCAGAACUUUGUCCUACCCUGUAUGUAUGGCGCUAGGUAAUGGCCCAGAGAGCAAGUCUUAGUGGUAGAGCAUAGCCUAGGAUGCACCCGUCAGAUAGGGGAGGAGUCCUAUGGGAGGAAAGUAGGGAUUAACUUCACCUACUUCGGCAUGUAGCUUAAGCCAAUGUCUUAGGGUGGCCUGUCAUACAUUCGUCAUUAUCUUCUCAGUAGUCAGCUAUGAUCAUUCACUCAUUUAUACAUUUAUGUAGCUAUUUCUUGAGUGCCUGUGCAUAAUGUAAGGUGCUUUCUGUUGCCAUUUCCUGGUUGAAAAUAAUUUGUGGCUCCUCAUUGCCUAUUAAAGGCUACAAUUAUCCUGGCAUGUAGGAUGAAAUAAUGACUACUUAUCUCUACUUCUUUAUGUGAAGGCCACUGUCAAGCCCAUUGUCAGGUUGGCACGUGGAGGCAGGUGGGGUGAGGUGGACAGAGUGGUGGUGUGGGGGGAGGAUUGAAAGGGCAUCCCCCUCCUGAGUUCUUGUUCAGCAAAGCUUUCCAGAGCACUGCACUCUAACUGGAUAGAAAUAGGCAAGAUGGCUAAGCUCUGCAUCAGGGCUAAAGGGUGGAGAGAAUGAGAAUAUCAGGACUUCUUUGGGACCAUCCAAGAAGGGAGGGACGUCAGUCCCAUGCCAGUGUGAACCGCAGAUGUCCAGUAUGAGUGCUCCUAAAGACUUAUCCAGCUCUAAAUUGCCCUGCCCUUUCUCCUUCCCCUUUGCCUCAUGUUUACUUCUCCUUAGAGAGAAAUUCCCUUAAUAGGCAAUGAAUUUCCUUAAUAGGCAAAGGGCCUAUGUGCACAUUUUGGGAGUAGCAUUUUGGGGACAGGCAUAAUCCAGAAUGAGGAUUAGCGAGAGGAACAGAUGGGUGAUGGCAGCUGUGAAGAAAAAGAAUAGCAGGUAGAAGUCCUGGCACUUGGAGAUAGAAAGGACAGACAUGAGGCCUAAGCUGGAGAGAUGGUGUAGGUGGUAGUGCUGUGAAGAAGAAAUGAUAACUGGCUGGAGCUGUUCCCUGAAACGAGUGGGAACAGACAAAGGACUGCACAGGCAGCAGGAAAAUUCCUCCCAGCCCUGUAAUUUUAAGCUGGCUCUACUUGAUCAACAAAAACCACCAUAGGCACUCAACUCUGUGCCAAUUACCCAGGUCUUCAGGGCCCUGGGACCGACACCGUGAUGCUGGUAUCCUAACUAAGCCCACUUCAGCCACUUUCAGGUUGGUAGAAUGAAAAGAUAGGGCAGGUGAUGGCAGCUGUGAAGAAAAGAGGAAAGACUGAAGGCCUCUGAUAUAGAGACAUGAAGAAAGGACUGCAUAGGUUGUGGUCCUUUGCUCCCAGAUGCCCCAUCCUGUCCUUGAACCCUUAGUAAGUAUCCAUCUAGCAAAGGUGGCCCCCCACGGGAAGUGCAAGAAAGCGCUGGUAGUGAGUGGCCUCCUCCUGCUGGUAUGUACCCAUCGUUCAAUCUGCUGGUCCUGCUCAUGCUCCCUAACUCUUGGUUCCUCACUCCUAGGCUCCUAAUAUUUACCUCAGGCCUUUGUUAUUUGGCCCUUGUUAUCUGGAUCAGUUUUUCCUGGUCACCAGUCUCCCUGCAGAUAUCCACAGGGUAGCAGAUAUCCACAGGGUAUCGUGUAACUACAGCCAUAGGGAAGAGACCUUGCAGCCUGCCUGUGGGGUAGCCCGAGGGACCCACAGGCCACCCUGAGGCUGCACAGCCUCUGCCCAGGACAGUGGGAUUCAGUACUUCCACUUGGGCCAGAUGAAAUUGCUCAGGCUUCCUCAGGAGGCCGUGAGUUUUCCCCACUGCGUUAUUCAGUAGGUGUCGUGUCCUCCUGUGCUGCCACAGUGCACAGUCUGAGCCUCCUUCGGUCCUUACCACAGGCUGCCCUGUGUUAUUGUCUGCUGUGCCCUCUAGGCCUCUGCUAGGCUGUGAACUCCUUGAGGGCCAAGUCUGACUCCUCACUGUAUCCUCUUUACUUUGAAUCACAAUGCCUUGUUCUAUCAUAUGCUAGAACAAAUGCUUUUUCUACCAUAUUUUGAUUUCCCUGUUGAGGGCUCUGAGUCCUCUCUGUGCUCUGCACCCAACACAGGGCCUGGUGCAGAAUAGACAACAGAGAAGCUAUGCUGAAUGAAUAAGGGAGUUAAAGACCCUUGGCCUUGGAAGCUAACUGAGAAGGGUAGGGUGAGUUCCCUCAGGGAGGAGCAGGUCACAUCCCUCUGGGUUCACAGCACUCUAAAGGUGCUGAACACUCACCCUACAUGAGUCUCCCCUGUGCUGGCCUGCUUCCACGUCAGUCACAGGAUUUCCUGGGAAUGAGCUUUUCUCUGGCUGCCUGGAUAUCCCAAGGAUCAUAGCCCAAGCCCCAAGCAAAGCCUUGAUUUGGGGUUCUCAUUUCACUGGUAACCCCCUCCCCCCACCUAAUUGGAUUUUCUAUAGCUACUGCUCCUCCAGGACUCAGAGGGAGAUGCCGGGGCUCAGCAUGUUCCACGCCUGUCUUGGUUCUGUGAUACUAGGAGCCACAAAUGCUCUCUGUACUAUGAAAACCACCAUGACUCUUUGAAACAAGGAAGAUGAAUAAAAAGCAUAAUUCUGGCGA